rnacentral:lncRNA from 1 species
AGGAGAGUUGUAAAAAUUUUCAUUUAGAAGGUGUUGAGAUCCAACAUCAAAAUUAAAAGAACCAACACUAAUAUAUAAAAUAUUUUUGGCAAUCUAUUUAUCGCAGUUAGUUGAAAAUUUAUAAAAUUUAUCAUGGUAUAAGAUUUCCGUUUGUUAAUUAACUCAAAUAGAAUUGUUCAAAUUAAUGUAUUAUUAGUUUCAAAAUGGGAUUCAGUUCGAGAUAACCGAUAAAAGCAAUCAUUUCGAGGAAAAUGCUAAAUUUCGACAUUGAAAGUUUGACCAACAUUAAUAUAUAACAAUUUUAGACCCAAAAAAUUAUCGUUAAUUGAUUUUAAUUUGAAAAUACAUGAAAUUAAUUAAAAUAAAUAUUUUAUUACUGUAAAAAUAUUUCUAACAAAACUAAUUGAUUUUUAAUUAUUAUUUUUGAUUUAUCAUAUUAGUUAAUUCAGCCAGCCUCAAGAGAAAACACACAUAAUUUGACAUAGUUGA